GAUGAACGCUGGCGGCGUGCCUAAUACAUGCAAGUCGAGCGAACAGACGAGGAACUUGCUCCUCUGACGUUAGCGGCGGACGGGUGAGUAACACGUGGAUAACCUACCUAUAAGACUGGGAUAACUUCGGGAAACCGGAGCUAAUACCGGAUAAUAUAUUGAACCGCAUGGUUCAAUAGUGAAAGACGGUUUUGCUGUCACUUAUAGAUGGAUCCGCGCCGCAUUAGCUAGUUGGUAAGGUAACGGCUUACCAAGGCAACGAUGCGUAGCCGACCUGAGAGGGUGAUCGGCCACACUGGAACUGAGACACGGUCCAGACUCCUACGGGAGGCAGCAGUAGGGAAUCUUCCGCAAUGGGCGAAAGCCUGACGGAGCAACGCCGCGUGAGUGAUGAAGGUCUUCGGAUCGUAAAACUCUGUUAUUAGGGAAGAACAAAUGUGUAAGUAACUAUGCACGUCUUGACGGUACCUAAUCAGAAAGCCACGGCUAACCACGUG
rnacentral:rRNA from 1 species